rnacentral:rRNA from 1 species
GGAAUCUUGCGCAAUGGGCGAAAGCCUGUCGCAGCGACGCCGCGUGGAGGAUGAAGGCCUUCGGGUUGUAAACUCCUUUUGUCAGGGAAGAAUUUCUGACGGUACCUGACGAAUAAGAGGUUGCUAACUCUGUGCCAGCAGCAGCGGUAAUACAGAGACCUCAAGCGUUAUCCGGAUUUAUUGGGCGUAAAGCGUUCCGAUCGGCGGUUUGGUUAAGUGCGCGGUAAAAUCCAAAGGCUCAACCUUUGGCCUGCCAUGCAUACUGCCAGACUAGAGGAGUAGAGGGGUGCCUGGAACGAACGGUGUAGCAGUGAAAUGCGUUGAUAUCGUUCGGAACACCAAUAGCGAAGGCAAGGCACUGGAUACUUCCUGACGCUGCUAGGACGAAAGCGUGGGUAGCGAA